rnacentral:tRNA from 1 species
GCGGGAGUAGCUCAGUUGGCUAGAGCAUCAGCCUUCCAAGCUGAGGGUCGCGGGUUCGAACCCCGUCUCCCGCUCCA